GUAGGUGGCAAGCGUGUCCGGAAUUAUUGGGCGUAAAGCGCGCGCAGGUGGUUCUUUAAGUCUGAUGUGAAAGCCCCCGGGCUCAACCGGGGAGGGUCAUUGGAAACUGGGGAACUUGAGUGCAGGAGAGGAAAGUGGAAUUCCACGUGUAGCGGUGAAAUGCGUAGAUAUGUGGAGGAACACCAGUGGCGAAGGCGACUUUCUGGCCUGUAACUGACACUGAGGCGCGAAAGCGUGGGGAGCAAACAGGAUUAGAUACCCUGGUAGUCCACGCCGUAAACGAUGAGUGCUAAGUGUUGGGGGGUUUCCGCCCCUCAGUGCUGCAGCUAACGCAUUAAGCACUCCGCCUGGGGAGUACGGUCGCAAAGACUG
rnacentral:rRNA from 1 species